AUUGAACGCUGGCGGCAGGCCUAACACAUGCAAGUCGAGCGGAUGACGGGAGCUUGCUCCUUGAUUCAGCGGCGGACGGGUGAGUAAUGCCUAGGAAUCUGCCUGGUAGUGGGGGACAACGUUUCGAAAGGAACGCUAAUACCGCAUACGUCCUACGGGAGAAAGCAGGGGACCUUCGGGCCUCGCGCUAUCAGAUGAGCCUAGGUCGGAUUAGCUAGUUGGUGGGGUAAUGGCUCACCAAGGCGACGAUCCGUAACUGGUCUGAGAGGAUGAUCAGUCACACUGGAACUGAGACACGGUCCAGACUCCUACGGGAGGCGGCAGUGGGGAAUAUUGGACAAUGGGCGAAAGCCUGAUCCAGCCAUGCCGCGUGUGUGAAGAAGGUCUUCGGAUUGUAAAGCACUUUAAGUUGGGAGGAAGGGCAGUAAGUUAAUACCUUGCUGUUUUGACGUUACCGACAGAAUAAGCACCGGCUAACUCUGUGCCAGCCGCCGCUGUAACAC
rnacentral:rRNA from 1 species